rnacentral:rRNA from 1 species
CCCUUAGAUGUUCUGGGCCGCACGCGCGCUACACUGACGAUGGCAACGAGUUUUUCCUUCGCCGAAAGGUGUGGGUAAUCUUUUGAAACAUCGUCGUGCUGGGGAUAGAUCAUUGCAAUUUUUGAUCUUGAGCGAGGAAUUCCUAGUAAGCGCGAGUCAUCAGCUCGCGUUGAUUACGUCCCUGCCCUUUGUACACACCGCCCGUCGCUACUACCGAUUGAAUGGUUUAGUGAGGACUCCUGAUUGGCGCCGCCGCCCCGGCAACGGAGCAGCGGACUGCCGAAAAGUUGUUCAAACUUGAUCAUUUAGAGGAAGUAAAAGUCGUAACA